rnacentral:rRNA from 1 species
GAUGAACGCUGGCGGCGUGCCUAAUACAUGCAAGUCGAGCGAACAGACGAGGAUUUUGCUUCUCUUACGUUAGCGGCGGACGGGUGAGUAACACGUGGAUAACCUACCUAUAAGACUGGGAUAAGUUCGGGAGACCGGAGAUAAUACCGGAUAAGAUGUUGAACCGCAUGGUUCAUCAGUGCAAGCCGGUCCUGCUGUCACUAGUUGAUGGAACCGAGCCGCAUUAGCUAGUUGGUAAGGUAACGGCUUACCAAGGCUACGAUGCGUAGCCGACCUGAGAGGGUGAUCGGCCACACUGGAACUGAGACACGGUCCAGACUCCUACGGGAGGCAGCAGUGGGGAAUCUUCCGCAAUGGGCGAAAGCCUGACGGAGCAACGCCGCGUGAGUGAAGAAGGUCUUCGGAUCGUAAAGCUCUUUAAUUAGGGAAGAACAGAAGUGUAAGUAACUAUGCCCGUCUUGACGGUACCUAAACAGAAAGCCACGGCUAACUACGUG